GGAUGGAUCAUUAACAAUGAUUACACCCCUACGUUUUGUGAACUGUAUUGAUAACAACUGUCAGUGUCUAGGUGAGCCUAGGGACUUGUCCUCUGGUUUUUCUAGGGACUGACGGUUACCUGUACUACGUACAUUGAAUCUACCCAACUGAAGUCUAGGAGACUACCUAACUAAAAACAACUUUUAGCAACGGAUCUCUUGGCUCUCGCAACGAUGAAGAACGCAGCGAAAUGCGAUAAGUAGUGUGAAUUGCAGAUACCGUGAAUCAUCAAAUCUUUGAACGCACAUUGCACUGCCUGGAAUUCCGGGCAGUAUACCUGUUUGAGUAUCAGACAACUCUCUCCCUAACACGUUCGUAGAGCGUCUAGGUGAGGAUCUGAGGCUUCUCCUCUCUCUUAUGAGGGGCGCGCCUUUAAAUGCAUCUGCUGGCUCUAGGCUACCAACGGUGCCUUGCCCUACAGAGUUAAUAGGUUAACCCCUAGCAACUGUAAGGAGCAAGGUGCUAGGCUGACGCGUCAUGCAUUACCUCAAAACUACUUGGCUUCACGGCCUUGUGACUUUGAUCUCAAAUCAGGUAAGAUUACCCGCUGAACUUAAGCAUAUUAAUAAGCGGAGGAAAAGAAACUAACUAGGAUUCCCUUAGUAACGGCGAGUGAAGAGGGAUCAGCUCAAAUUUAAAAUCUCCUUGGAGAAUUGUAGUUUAUAGAGGUGUUUUCGUAGGCAGCCUAGGUCUAAGUCCCUUGGAACAGGGCGUCACAGAGGGUGAGAAUCCCGUAUGUGGCCUAGGUACUGUCUCACUGUGAUACACUCUCAAAGAGUCGGGUUGUUUGGGAAUGCAGCCCUAAGUGGGUGGUAUAUUUCAUCUAAAGCUAAAUACCGGCGAGAGACCGAUAGCGAACAAGUACCGUGAGGGAAAGAUGAAAAGAACUUUGAAAAGAGAGUUAAAUAGUACGUGAAAUUGCUAAAAGGGAAACGAUUGAAAUCAGUGUUGGCCUUUGGAACUUGUUCCUUUGGUCAGGUCAACAUCAGUUCCAGGCAAGGUAAAUUAGCAGGGGAAGGUGACUCCCUCGGGAGUGUUAUAGCCCUUGUGACUGCCUUGCUGGGGACUGAGGCCCGCAGUACAUGCCUUUGGCUGGCGACCUGGGUGCUGUUAGGUUCCUUCUGUUAGACAGCAUGCUGACUUGCAGAAACGCGCCUAGCACUCGCUCAGUUAGCACAAAUGUACUUAGGAUGUUGACGAAAUGGUUUUAAACGACCCGUCUUGAAACACGGACCAAGGAGUCUAACAACUGUGCAAGUGUUUGGGUGGAAAGCCCAGGCGCGUAAUGAAAGUGAAUGUAGGAGGGAUCCUUUUAGGUGCACCUUCGACCGAUCUUGAUUUUGUGAUAGAUUUGAGUAAGAGCAUAGCUGUUGGGACCCGAAAGAUGGUGAACUAUGCCUGAAUAGGGUGAAGCCAGAGGAAACUCUGGUGGAAGCUCGUAGCGGUACUGACGUGCAAAUCGUUCGUCUAAUUUGGGUAUAGGGGCGAAAGACUAAUCGAACCAUCUAGUAGCUGGUUCCCUC
rnacentral:misc_RNA from 1 species